GAGGAAACACAUUAAACUUCCUAAGAUGAAAGAUUCUGGAUCCCCCUUUUAUCUUAGAGGGGUAUCACACUUCCCUCUCUUUUUUUGGAAUAUAUUGACAAAGUUUUACUUUUUGAAAAUUAACCAUUUCACCCUUUUUUAUUGAAAUGGCUGAUGUGCCUUUCAUCCCAAACAACCUGCACCGUUUCAGCUGAUGUUGGUAAUUUUUCUCUGUUCCUGAUUUUAUUUUCUGCAUGUGUUAUACUAUCAAAUUCUUUUAACUAUUACAAUUUCAUCUCAAAUUUGAUUGCUUCCUUUAUUUUAUCAUAUGAAUGGAUCCUCAUCUAUAAUUUAGACUUUAAUGCAACAUGUUUCAAAGUUAGUUGGUGCAUUUUAUUUGAUAUUAUAAAAGGGCUUACGACAUCAAAGAGACGUAACGAAAGUAACAAAAAUACAAUUUAGGGUCUGAAUUGUGGAGUCAAUUCUCAAUUCUUUAUCUCUUAUGUAUCCAUACUGAAUUCUCAUUCUUUUAAAAAAUAUAUGUUAAAACUCUUUGACUUUGUAAUGUUUGCCCCUAUUGUUCUGUAUAUUGUAAUUUCCAAUCAGACCCUCAUAGUUGAUUCAUUCGAGCAUGUAAUGCACAUUAGAACACGCAUUUUCUGAUGUUACGUGUGCUAUACAACAUUCACAAAUGUACUUAAUAAUUUAACACUGUAAUAGCUUUUUCAUCAAUCAAUAUGCAACUGUUAACACUUCCAACAUGUAUAUACCUGCAGCAUUUGUGCAGAGUAGUGACCAACCAGUGUUUAUAAUUAUGAACCUUUCACAAGUUAGAAAGGUGGUCAAAAUUAGAAAAAUAACUAUACGGUAUAAUUCCACACUAUACAACCAUCCAUGAAUAACAAACGAAGAGCAGCUGACCAAUUGAAUGCAACCGUUAUGAUUUAUCCAAUGAGCAAAAUUAACAUUGAAUAGUUAUCACUGAGGCAGCAAUCAUUUUAUUUUCGGGGGGGGGGGGGGGGGGGCAAUGGACUUUUUUUUCAGGUCAAACUUUUUUUGGCGACAAUUUUUCUUUCUUUCAAUUUUAGCAUUACAUAUAGCAUGUAUAGUGGCAGCUAUGGGUGAAACAAACAUUUUUUUUUCUCAGGGUCAAACACAAAUAAUUUUCUUCUCCCAAAACUGGAAAC
rnacentral:lncRNA from 1 species